AUACUUACCUGGACGGGGUCAAUGGGCGAUCAAGAAGGCUCAUGGCCUAGGUCUGUGACCUCCAUUGCACUUUGGAGGGGUGCAGGCCUAAGGUCUCCUCAAAGUAGGAGAGCCUACGUCAUAAUUUGUGGCAGUGGGGGCCUGCGUUCGCGCGGCCCCUAU